AGAUUAAGUUAUUAAGGGCGCACGGUGGAUGCCUUGGCACUAGAAGCCGAUGAAGGACGUUACUAACGACGAUAUGCUUUGGGGAGCUGUAAGUAAGCUUUGAUCCAGAGAUUUCCGAAUGGGGAAACCCAGCAUGAGUUAUGUCAUGUUAUCGAUAUGUGAAUACAUAGCAUAUCAG
rnacentral:rRNA from 1 species